GCCCUUGUGGUGUAGCAGUAGCAUGCGCCUUUCGGGUAGGCGCGGUCCUGGGUUCAAAUCCCAGCGAGGGCC